AACAUGCAUGACUUGUAUAAAGUGAGAAAAGGGGAAUCCUUCAGUUGAAAGUAAUCACAAUUAUAGAUCCUUAGAUAUAAUUUUCUUUUCUUUUUGUAGGUACCUUAUAAUUGUAUAUAUGUGUGUAUUUUCGGAGAGACAACAAGCUUAAGCAAAGCAGAUAAAGACGUGAAACAAAGUGAAAGAGAUUCAGAGUCGACAAACAUAAGUCCGUGCCUGCAGAUGUAGAGGAAACAAUAAAUGGUGAAAAGUCAAAAGGAAAGGCCGGUCCAUUAAAAAAAAGCACAGAAACCAGCAAAAGUGAUAGAGAAGAAGAAAAAUAAGAAGACAAAAAAUAAGAAGCCAGUGACAAAUGAAGAUGGAGGAAGUGAUGACAGUUCUGAAGAAAUCAGUGUAAUGGAGGUGGAUGUGAAAAAAAAAUAAAAAGAAAUUGAAGCAGAAAAGAAAAAGAACAAGGAAGCAGUAAUGGCAGCCAGUCAACAAGUUGCAGCUUCAUUAUUUUCCAAGAAAACGAUUGAAAUUGGACCAAGUGAUGUCAUUCCAGACAACUUCCAUCUGCUGGCCCCAGGUGCUUCCAUAGCGGUCAAUACCCUAUGGUUGCACGACAUUCUUUCGUCUUUGACAAAGCAAAGACAGAAAAGGGAGAAAAAAGCCGACAAAAAGGGAUUGACAAUAAGGGAAGACAGGAAUGUAGAAAUCCUAAAGCGGCUGAUGGACGGCUUCUUUGAUCCCUGGGACCUUGCUGUGGAGGGAGGCACAGAAGUUUUAAGGACAAUGCUGUAUUUAAUGCUUUACAGUUAUAUGCAACACACCAUCUUAAGAUGUCCAUUCCUGUCUUCAAAAAAAGCUGGAACUCAAAAAUGGUUUCAGCCAGACAGACUGUUAAAAGAUGCAGGCAGCAAAGAACAUCAAGUAUAGAUGAUCAAAUGGAAGAUUAAAGUUCGUGAAUUAUGUCUCAAACCAUACAGUGGUGUGGGAAACAUAUUGAUUUACUCCUGUGUGUGUGUCCAUCUGUCUGUCACAAAUCUUGUCCAUGCUCUUAAGUCGAACAUUUCUGAUCCGAUCUUCACCAAACUUAAACAAAAUGUGUUUGACCAUAGGUCCUCGAUCAAGUUCGCAUAAUAGCCAAAUCAGCCUAGGCACUUCAGAAUUAUAGCCCUUGAAUUACCGAAAAUUGGCCUGUUUACUCUUGUCUGUGGUCUAAGUCUAUUUUUCAUCAGAUUGUCACUAAACUUGAAUAACUUUUGUUGACCAUAAGUCCUCAGCCGAGUUCAAUAACUAUCCAAAUCGGCCGAGGCACUUCGGAAUUGGGUCACUGGCCAAGUCCCGCAAGUCCCAUAACUCUGACAUGCAUUUUUGCUGAAUUAUGCCCCUGUUUUACUGACAAAAUAUUUUGUUUAUUGACAAGCACUUUGGGUAGUCGGGUAAGCUGUAUUACUGACAGCUCUUUUUGUACAUGCACCUCUAGUCCUAGUGAAACAUUAAUGUGAUUUAUCAAAUGUGCCACUUUUCCUAGUCAAAAAAACAUUACUGUGAUUUUUAUAUAUAUCUAUUCAAACAACUUUAUCGUGAUUUUUAUAGAUCUUAAUGUGGUUAUACACAUGUGCCUCCGACUAUUAUAACAUUAAAUGUGAUUUAUAUGCAUCUAUAGUCUUAGUCACACAGGCCUAUAUGAAAUCAAGGUGAUUUUACUUGAACCUAUAGUUAUAGUCAGACAUCCAUCAGUUGAUUUUUAUACAUGUACAUUGAAUCAGAGUUAAGCUUAUAUGAUUAUGUGAUAUUUUUACAUUUGAUAGUUAUGCAGUAUUCAGUAGAUUUUUUAUGCAUGUACCUGAUGUUCAAGAGGUAUUAUUCAAUUGAAAUUUACAUAUCUCAGAUUUAAGCCACACAUUUGUUUGAUUUUUAUACAUGUAUCUCAAGUUUAAGCCGAUCAUUAUUCAGGUGAUCACAUGUUCAAAUCAGCAUUCCUCAGGUUUUCCCUCUUUAUAAUAUCUGUUAAACAUUAGUAUUAAGUUAAAAUCUGAUUAUGCUGUUCAGCUGGUGUCUUUCUGUGGUCUGUUCACCUUUCUUAACAAAUUAUGAAAAUGGCCAGCUAAUCUUGAUGCUUUUACUCACAGUAAAAUUACAUUGAAUUAUGUCUUUUGAUAUCAAAUAUAGUUCUGAAUGAUUGUUUGAAGCUGUUAAAUUAAUAAUCCAUUGUUUCUACAGAAUCCUUGUUAAUGUAUAUAAUUAUACAUAUCAAUAAUUGUUCCCUUACUUGUGAGAAUCGUGUACAUUUGUCACAUGUAUGUAAAUAAUGUAUUGCUCAUGUUUUCUUCAGGGUAUCUUAUUCAUGAUUUAAUGGUAUACUGAGCGUCAUUGAAAAGUUACCACUUAAUAUAUACCUCUUUACUUUUUUAUACAAUAUCGAUGUCACUUUUUCAUGGCCUGUGCACAGUCUAUUACUCAUAGACACUGUCUGAUCAUG
rnacentral:misc_RNA from 1 species